rnacentral:rRNA from 1 species
GAUGAACGCUGGCGGCGUGCCUAAUACAUGCAAGUCGAGCGAACAGACGAGGAGCUUGCGCCUCUGACGUUAGCGGCAGACGGGUGAGUAACACGUGGAUAACCUACCUAUAAUAGUGGUAUAACUUCGGGAAAGCGGAGCUAAUAGCGGAUGAUAUAUUGAACCGCGUGGUGGAAUGGUGAGAGUCGGUGGUGCUGGCACUUAUAGAUGCAUACGCGCCGCAUGAGGUGGUUGGUAAGGUAACGGGUUACUAAGGCGACGAUGCGUGGCCGACGUGAGAGGGUGGUAGCCCACCCGGGAACUGAGCCACGCUCAUGACUCCUACGGUAGGCCGCAGUCGCGAACCUUCGGCAAUGGGGGAAAGCAUGACGGAGCAAGGCCGCGUGAGUGAUGAAGGUCUUCGGAUCGUAAUACCCGGUUAUUAGUGAAGAACCACUGUGUACGUAAAUAUGCACGUCUUGACGGUAACUAAUCAGAAAGCCACGGCUAACUACGUG